AUGUUAACGUAUGAUAUGUUAACAUCGAUUUUCCAAAAAAUCGAUGUUAAUGCAUACACGUUAACAU
rfam:Glycine soja cultivar W05 scaffold961_20, whole genome shotgun sequence.